UACAGAGGGGGCAAGCGUUGUUCGGAAUUACUGGGCGUAAAGGGCGCGUAGGCGGCCCGCUAAGUCGCACGUGAAAUCCCCGGGCUCAACCCGGGAACUGCGUCCGAUACUGGCAGGCUUGAAUCCGGGAGAGGGAUGCGGAAUUCCAGGUGUAACGGUGAAAUGCGUAGAUAUCUGGAGGAACACCGGUGGCGAAGGCGGCAUCCUGGACCGGCAUUGACGCUGAGGCGCGAAAGCCAGGGGAGCAAACGGG
rnacentral:rRNA from 1 species